UUGGAGGGCAAGUCUGGUGCCAGCAGCCGCGGUAAUUCCAGCUCCAAUAGCGUAUAUUAAAGUUGUUGCAGUUAAAAAGCUCGUAGUUGAAUUUCGGGGUUAGUAGGUUGGUCAUGCCUCUGGUAUGUACUGGUCUCACUUAUUCCUCCUUCCUGAUGAGCCGUAAUGCCAUUAAUUUGGUGUUGCGGGGAAUUUGGACUGUUACUUUGAAAAAAUUAGAGUGUUUAAAGCAAGCUAACGCUUGAAUACAUUAGCAUGGAAUAAUGAAAUAGGACGUUCGAUCCUAUUUUGUUGGUUUCUAGGAUUGACGUAAUGAUUAAUAGGGAUAGUUGGGGGCAUUAGUAUACAAUUGUCAGAGGUGAAAUUCUUGGAUUUAUUGAAGACUAACUACUGCGAAAGCAUUUGCCAAGGAUGUUUUCAUUAAUCAAGAACGAAAGUUAGGGGAUCGAAGACGAUCAGAUACCGUCGUAGUCUUAACCAUAAACUAUGCCGACUAGGGAUCGGAUGAUGUUAAUUUUUUAAUGACACAUCCGGCGCCUUACGGGAAACCAAAGUGUUUGGGUUC
rnacentral:rRNA from 1 species